rnacentral:rRNA from 1 species
CCUACGGGUGGCUGCAGUGAGGAAUAUUGGUCAAUGGGCGAGAGCCUGAACCAGCCAAGUCGCGUGAGGGAGUACUGCCCUAUGGGUUGUAAACCUCUUUUGUCGGGGAGCAAAAGCCGGACGUUUCCGGCUGUUAGAUUACCCGAAGAAAAAGCAUCGGCUAACUCCGUGCCAGCAGCCGCGGUAAUACGGAGGAUGCGAGCGUUAUCCGGAUUUAUUGGGUUUAAAGGGUGCGCAGGCGGAUUGUUAAGUCAGCGGUAAAAUCGUGGGGCUCAACCCCAUCCAGCCGUUGAAACUGGGGAUCUAGAGUGUGCGAGAGGUAUGCGGAAUGCGUGGUGUAGCGGUGAAAUGCAUAGAUAUCGCGCAGAACCCCGAUUGCGAAGGCAGCAUACCGGUGCACAACUGACGCUGAGGCACGAAAGCGUGGGUAUCGAACAGGAUUAGAUACCCUUGUAGUC